rnacentral:rRNA from 1 species
UACAGAGGGUGCAAGCGUGAAUCGGAAUUACUGGGCGUAAAGCGUGCGUAGACGGUUACAUAAGUCAGAUGUGAAAGCCCCGGGCUCAACCUGGGAAUUGCAUUUGAGACUGCGUAGCUAGGGUGCGGAAGAGGGAAGCGGAAUUUCCGGUGUAGCGGUGAAAUGCGUAGAUAUCGGAAGGAACACCAGUGGCGAAAGCGGCUUCCUGGUCCAGCACCGACGUUCAGGCACGAAAGCGUGGGGAGCAAACAGG